rnacentral:rRNA from 1 species
GCUGGCGGCAGGCCUAACACAUGCAAGUCGAGCGGUAGAGAGAAGCUUGCUUCUCUUGAGAGCGGCGGACGGGUGAGUAAUGCCUAGGAAUCUGCCUGGUAGUGGGGGAUAACGUUCGGAAACGGACGCUAAUACCGCAUACGUCCUACGGGAGAAAGCAGGGGACCUUCGGGCCUUGCGCUAUCAGAUGAGCCUAGGUCGGAUUAGCUAGUUGGUGGGGUAAUGGCUCACCAAGGCGACGAUCCGUAACUGGUCUGAGAGGAUGAUCAGUCACACUGGAACUGAGACACGGUCCAGACUCCUACAGGAGGCAGCAGUGGGGAAUAUUGGACAAUGGGCGAAAGCCUGAUCCAGCCAUGCCGCGUGUGUGAAGAAGGUCUUCGGAUUGUAAAGCACUUUAAGUUGGGAGGAAGGGCAGUUGCCUAAUACGUAACUGUUUUGACGUUACCGACAGAAUAAGCACCGGCUAACUCUGUGCCAGCAGCCGCGGUAAUACAGAGGGUGCAAGCGUUAAUCGGAAUUACUGGGCGUAAAGCGCGCGUAGGUGGUUUGUUAAGUUGGAUGUGAAAUCCCCGGGCUCAACCUGGGAACUGCAUUCAAAACUGACUGACUAGAGUAUGGUAGAGGGUGGUGGAAUUUCCUGUGUAGCGGUGAAAUGCGUAGAUAUAGGAAGGAACACCGGUGGCGAAGGCGACCACCUGGACUGAUACUGACACUGAGGUGCGAAAGCGUGGGGAGCAAAC